rnacentral:rRNA from 1 species
UACGUAGGGUGCAAGCGUUAAUCGGAAUUACUGGGCGUAAAGCGUGCGCAGGCGGUGAUGUAAGACAGAUGUGAAAUCCCCGGGCUCAACCUGGGAACUGCAUUCGUGACUGCAUCGCUGGAGUGCGGCAGAGGGGGAUGGAAUUCCGCGUGUAGCAGUGAAAUGCGUAGAUAUGCGGAGGAACACCGAUGGCGAAGGCAAUCCCCUGGGCCUGCACUGACGCUCAUGCACGAAAGCGUGGGGAGCAAACAGG